AUAAAUAAAAUUAAACAUAUUGUAGAUUAUGGAUGCGUUUCACGUGACGCGAUUUGCGAUGUUUAUAAACAACGAGUGUACUACAACGUAACUCGUCUCAUAUUAAUUCCAUAAAAGUUUAAAAUGCAGUAAUGUAAUAAAAGUAGUAAAAGGAAUAAAAAUGCACAUAGGUUUAAAACAUGUAUUAAAUCAGAUAACUAGGCCAAUUAUUAAUAGUUGAGCAACCGUGCUAAAACCACGGAACUUGAGAGUGCCUCACACAUUCUCCCGGGUUAACAGAAUUCCUUACCCGGUCUUCUGGUUUCAGAGACUUUAAAACAGAGUUAAAUUUCCCCGAUUUGGGAUUUAAAAUGAACCGGUGACUUGGGACACCAUAAAUUAUUCCAAGUGGUGACUCUAAAUUAAAUAAAUAAUCUCAUUUCGAAUAGUGUCACUUUAAUUGAAAAAACUCCCUACCCCCUCGGAAAAAAGGAGGUGUGACACCUAUACCCACCGUCAUUUAAUGCCUCAUUUAAUUUGCCUUCGUCCUUUAACGUUAUAGACUUAGUUUCGAAACCUCCAUAGCCAAACCAUGAGAACCCAUAUUUCACCAAGCAUUUACUGAUUCAACUUUUGAAUUUUUUCUUCAGAUUUUGUUCUAUCUCUUCGUCAAAUAGUAAUUUCUAGGCGAAAUUUUUGGAUGUAAAAGUAUAUUUUAGUGAAAGUGGCUUUUCAAAAUCAUAGAUUUUUUGUAUUUUUUUAUUGUACUUUUGUGAAUAAAUAUUUGAAUAAAUAUAUGUGAGUUGUUGUUUUCACUAUGGGUCGGAAGCACUGUGCGCGUAGAUGGUGGCGCCGUGCAUAACAUCAUUCUUUAACCCAAGUAGUUGCUACAUUUGUUGCCUCAGUCAUGUCCAGUCCUAGUUUUUCAUUAUUUUCUGAUUCUCCGUCUGUGUUUGGUCCUAACCCUAGCAGUAGUCGUAUUGAAAACACAAUUGAAAAUGUAGAAUUAGAGGGAGGGAAAGGCAACAAUAUUAACGCUUCGUCAGUCGAUGGAACUCCCUAUCAGUCAUUACCCAAAAUAAAUUUCGAACCAGUCAACAAAAAUUCUACUUUAAAUCGAAAUUGAUAAUAUUUUUAAUAUUACAAUUACAUCCACCUUCAACUUGCUUCAUUAAACAAAUAUUUUAGUUAUUUAAGGGCAUAAAAGGCUAUUAAUAUUUUAGGAAUAUUUUUAUCGUUCAAUAUUUAGCGUGAAAUAUUCGUGAUUGGAUCAUAUAGAUAGAUAUAGAUACAUAGAUAGGGUGAUAGAUAGAUAUAUUUGAUAAAGAUAAAAAGCGUUAACUUUUAACAAAUUUAGAGGACUAAAACCGCUUAUGAGUGUACCUAAGGUACCAUUUUCAAAUCUACCCAAACGUGAUUGGAUCAUAUUUGCCAUUUUCCUCUAAUUGCUGUGCCUCGUCUCAGCUGGCUCCUCUCUUGAUGUUUCGGUCUGCCGUUUUCGUUUGUGUUUCUCGGCGCUGUAAGUUCUGUUCGUGAAUCUUUGACAGAAUAGUGGUUGUUACUUCAGUGAAUCAAUUGUAAAAUGUCAUCGUUCAAGAAUGCUAUUCCUAGACGAGCUCAUAAGGAGCGAGCUCAGCCACAAGCUAGGAAAAAAUUUGGAUUGCUCGAGAAACACAAAGAUUAUGUGGUGCGGGCGACAGCAUUCCACAAAAAGGAGCAAACUUUACGGAAACUCAAGGAAAAAGCAGCAUUUCGGAAUCCAGAUGAGUUCUACUUCAAGAUGGUUAAAACAAAAACUGUGGAUGGAGUUCAUAGAUUGGAGAGUCAAGUAAAUAAAUACACUCCAGAGGAACUCAUGUUAAUGAAAACUCAGGAUAUAGGCUAUAUUUUACAGAAAGUUCAGACUGAGAAAAAGAAAAUUGAGAAGUUAACUGCCACACUGCACUCUCUUGAUAAUCAGCCAUCAAAUAGACGUGUCUACUAUGCCGAAGAUAGGGAGGAGGCAGAAGAGCUAGCGUCUAAAGCAUCAGAACAUAGUAAUUUGGCUGCUUCUGAGAACUUGCCUAGUAGUAUUAGAAGGAAGACAGCUGCCUCCUAUAGAGAGUUGGAAGCAAGAAAGGGCAGAGUGAGAGACUUAGAGAAACUGUACAUGGAUAUGGCCAUUCAGAAAGAAUUACAGAAAUCGGGAAGGAAACGCAAGCUUCGUGAAGAGGAGCUUGUGAACCCAACAACCAAACCUGUCUACAAGUGGAGACAAGAACGAAAGCGAUGAGAAUUUCGAUGUUAUAAUACAAGUACGAGGAAGUGUUUUGGAUGGUCAUAUCAAGAAUUCAGUUCCGAAUACUUUGAGGCGGAUAACAUUUGAACAGCAGUAAAACAACAAAAUGCGCAGUUGAAACAAGCUAUGCCAAAACGAUUGUGGUUUUGUUUGAGAAACAACACACAAAGAGAAGCGAUUUUUUUUGCUGAUAAUGAAGUUUGUAAUAUAGAUAUUCAUCAUGAUUUUCCUACAGAAGUCAAGAAACUUUAUAAGAUGAUACAGUGUCACGACCCAACAAGCCAAAGACACUAAUGUAUUUUCUUUGUUCCUCAAGUCACUAGCAACAUACAAUAUAUCCUUAGAUGGCAAAUUUCAAUUAUAAUACAUUUCUAUGACCAUAGAGUUCUUCAAUUCAAAACCUGAAACUUCAGGAUGUUCAAAUAUC